UACGUAGGGUGCAAGCGUUAAUCGGAAUUACUGGGCGUAAAGCGUGCGCAGGCGGUUAUGUAAGACAGGUGUGAAAUCCCCCGGGCUUAACCUGGGAACUGCAUUUGUGACUGCAUAGCUAGAGUACGGCAGAGGGGGAUGGAAUUCCGCGUGUAGCAGUGAAAUGCGUAGAUAUGCGGAGGAACACCGAUGGCGAAGGCAAUCCCCUGGGCCUGUACUGACGCUCAUGCACGAAAGCGUGGGGAGCAAACAGG
rnacentral:rRNA from 1 species